GCAAAGUAGAAGCUGCUGCGUUAAGUGUGCGGGGAACGGGAAGUUGUCCCUGCAACGAAAAGCGGAAAAAUCCGUUUGCGGUGGCAGCUUCGCAUUCCGUUG
rnacentral:ncRNA from 1 species